GGGGAGGAACCUGAUCCUCCGGUAGCGAAGGGCUGGAGGCAAACACCGAGCUCCCCCAGAGCCGCCCGGGAGCAGGGAGGGCUCUGCUACCCCGGGGGGCCCUCCCCGCGGGGCAGAUGAGUUCAAUAUCCAGACUCUUGGAGCAGUGUUUUGGGGUCACCCAAGCAUUCCAUCCUCCUGACUCUCCAUAGACUGUUGGAUUCAUAACCUACUCCACACUUGAGAUCAUGGGGAUUGGAAUAAGUGCUGGUCCCCUCCCAGAAGUUGCAGAUUCAAGACAGACUGAGGAAGGUGACCAGAGGAGACUCCUGUCCUUCCAGUGUGGUGUGUCACCAGCACAAGAUUAGAGGAUUAUGAAGACCUUGAGGGCAGAGACACAGUCUGACUCAUCGGUCUAACACCCUUUCCCCACCAACUAAAUUUAGUUUCUGGCAUAGAAAUGCUUCCGGAUGAACAUUUUGAAAAGAACAAAAUAGUUCUGGAGUAUCUCUACUGUCAUCAGCCCUGCACAAGGCACCUUGGUAAACCUAGAAGAC